CAAAGGAAGCGGACCAUUCUAUAAAGUUAAGAGGAAAAAAAAAAAAUCAGUCUUAGAUCUUUAAGUACAGUCUACAAAAAUAACCUGCGAGCAUCAGAUUUACAUAGAAUGCAUGAAGACUAUAAAGUAGAUACCUGGAAAGUAUUAGGUAUGUCCAUUUUACUUCUGAGAAACUUUCUUAGGUGCAUCACAGUCAUUGCUGCUGGGCAUCGUAAAUACCUUUUAUCAUUCACCUAAGAGCAUAUUUAAAAAAAAUAAUUUUUUAAAAUUCCUAACUUUAAGAUUUUUUUUU